rnacentral:rRNA from 1 species
UAGUCAUAUGCUUGUCUCAAAGAUUAAGCCAUGCAUGUCUAAGUAUAAGCACUUGUACUGUGAAACUGCGAAUGGCUCAUUAAAUCAGUUAUCGUUUAUUUGAUUGUACAUUUACUACAUGGAUACCUGUGGUAAUUCUAGAGCUAAUACAUGCGAAAAGUCCCGACUUCUGGAAGGGAUGUAUUUAUUAGAUUAAAAACCAAUACGGGUCAAACCGUUCUAUUGGUGAUUCAUGAUAACUUAUCGAAUCGCAUGGCUCACGCCGGCGACGUUUCAUUCAAAUUUCUGCCCUAUCAACUUUCGAUGGUAAGGUAUUGGCUUACCAUGGUUACAACGGGUAACGGAGAAUUAGGGUUCGAUUCCGGAGAGGGAGCCUGAGAAACGGCUACCACUUCCAAGGAAGGCAGCAGGUGCGCAAAUUACCCAAUCCUGACACAGGGAGGUAGUGACAAAAAAUAACAAUACAGGACUUUUAAAGCCUUG